rnacentral:rRNA from 2 species
GGUUAAGCGACUAAGCGUACACGGUGGAUGCCCUGGCAGUCAGAGGCGAUGAAGGACGUGCUAAUCUGCGAAAAGCGUCGGUAAGGUGAUAUGAACCGUUAUAACCGGCGAUGUCCGAAUGGGGAAACCCAGUGCAAUUCGUUGCACUAUCGUUAACUGAAUACAUAGGUUAACGAGGCGAACCGGGGG